rnacentral:rRNA from 1 species
ACCAGCACGUUAUGGUGGGCACUCUAAGGAGACUGCCGGUGACAACCGGAGGAAGGUGGGGAGUGACGUCAAGUCAUCAUGGCCCUUACGGCCUGGGCUACACACGUGCUACAAUGGUCGGUACAAAGGGUUGCCAAGCCGCGAGGUGGAGCUAAUCCCAUAAAACCGAUCGUAGUCCGGAUCGCAGUCUGCAACUCGACUGCGUGAAGUCGGAAUCGCUAGUAAUCGUGAAUCAGAAUGUCACGGUGAAUACGUUCCCGGGCCUU